rnacentral:rRNA from 1 species
UACGGGGGGGGCAAGCGUUGUUCGGAAUCACUGGGCGUAAAGCGCGCGCAGGCGGAUGGUUGCGUCCGGAGUGAAAUUUCGCCGCUCAACGGCGAAGCUGCUUUGGAUACGGACCGUCUAGGGACCGGUAGAGGCUGGUAGAAUUGCAGGUGUAGCGGUGAAAUGCGCAGAUAUCAGGAGGAACACCGAUGGCGAAGGCAGGUCUCUGGGCAUUAACUGACGCUGAGGAGCGAAAGCAUGGGGAGCGAACAGG